AUGGCGGGAGAGAUCUCCGUGAGGGAGACCCAGAGUCUCAGGCUCAUCCAGUCUGCUGAAGGACGGCAGCCGAGCUCGAGAGGCUCCCAAUCACGUCGGGAGCCAGCAACCAAGCUUGGGCCUCAGGGCUCUCCAGCAGGGCUCUCCACCUACAAGUCCCUGUCCCGAGGGUUUGUCCCACCUGCUGAGGCAUCUGGGGCGUGUGGAUGGGAGGAGAAGUUUCUGGCCACCGCAGACGAGGGGCAGGCCGUGGCAGAGGCGGGGGUGGGACCCGUGGCAGAGGCUCGCCUGGACGCCGCACAGACAGCCAGGGCGGCCACGGGCCACGGGGCGGUGGCAGCGAGGGCCCAGGUGGAGGCCGGACCUUUCCUGGUCCCACCGUCGUCCUCGCGCACAACGCCGUGUCUGAUCCGUAGUCCUCCCCCCAGUCCCACCGUCGUCCUCGCGCAUAACGCCUGUCUGAUCACCGAUCCUCCCCCCAGUCCCACCAUCGUCCUCGCGCGCAGCGCCGUGUCUGAUCCCCAGGUCCCUGGGGAGAGGACAAGGGGACUGGAGACAGCCCACCUGGAGUGCCUCAUCCUGGGACCUGCCGCCCCCUCCGGAGAAGCGCUGCACGUGUUCCCCUUGGUCUCGGGGUGUCAAGCCCCGAAAGAAGGCGACCCCGUAGUCCUGGCCUGCUUGACAAGAGGAUACUCCCAAGAGUCCGUGCAGGUGACCUCGGUUUCGGGGAAGCAGGACCAGGCCAAAAAGACCAAUCUCUUCCUGCCGAAGGCACAAGACAACAUUGAGCUGUCCUUCCUGACUGCCCGGUGGAAGCCAGACCCCCACCAGUGCAGCACCGCCAGCGGCAAGCUGCAGAAGGCCUUGCGGUGGCCAGGGCCUGACCCCAAGGACCGACACAGGCACCCAGGCCUCAGCGCGGUGCCCAUGAGGCAUCUUGGGAAACUAAGGCCCCCCUGUCGACUCUUGGGCCAACCCCAUCAGAGGUCUCCACCACAGUGCCCAGCACUGCCAGGGUCUCAGUGCCUUCCACCAGCCACACCCAGGCGCAAACCAGAGAGCCGGAAAGGACAGCGGACGCCAGUCUCAGAGCACCACCCCCAGGCCGGGUCUGCGCGCCCCAGUGCCCCCAGUGACCGAGGCCACUGUCCUCUGGCAGAGUGUCGGAACCACACCAGCCCUCCCAGCCUCUACCUGCCACAGCCUCCCCUGCAGGGCCCAUGGCUCGAGGGACAGGCCACCUUCACCUGCCUGGCAGUGGGGGCUGGCCUUCAGGAGGCCCGCUUGUCCUGGGAGGUGGCCGGGGCGCCCCUGCACGCGGGUGUGGACAGUGGGCCGCUGGAGGAGAGUGCCAAUGGUUCCCAGAGCCUGAGAAGCCGCCUGGACUUGCCCGUGGCCUCCUGGGCCUCGGGGGCCAACAUCACCUGCACGCUGAGCGGCCUGGGCGUGGCUUCCCAAGUGGUGUCCGCAGCUCCCAAGGAACACGCUGCCUCUGCGCCCGGCAGCCUCACGGUCCACAUCCUGACUGUGUCCAGAGCAGCCUCCUGGCUCCUGUGCAAGGUGUCCGGCUUCUCGCCCCCAGACAUCCUCCUCACCUGGCUAAGGGACCAGGUCCAGGUAGACUCUGCUUCCUUUGCCACUGCACCCCCCGCAGCCGAGCUGGGGAGCAGCACCUUCGAGACCUGGAGCGUCCUGCACAUCCGCACGGCCCAGGCCCCUCGCCUGGACACCUACACGUGUGUGGUCCGGCACGAGGCUUCCCGAAGGUUGCUCAACGCCAGCUGGAGCCCAGACACGGCCAGUCUGGACAUGGCCCCCCCAGCCCCCCAGAGCCAUGACGAGAGCGGCGGCGGCUCCACGGACCUGGAAGACACCGGCAGACUGUGGCCCACGUUCGCCGCCCUCUUCCUUCUCACUCUGCUCUACAGCGGCUUCGUCACCUUCAUCAAACACUCCGGCCAGGAAGCGGGCACGUUGCACCUGCUCACAAGGACACGGGGGUCUGGGCCCUGUCGUCUGGGGACCUGGCUCCUCACAUCCCCCCUCUGCACCCUCCGGCCACCGGCCCCCUUCCUGACCCCUGGGCUCUUGUUGCAGGUGAAGUAGCCCCAGGAGAGCGGAUGUCCUGCACCCGCAGAGAAGGGAGGCUGGGACUCUGGCCUGUGCGGGGCGCCCCGGCCCCACUUCUGCCUGCCCCAUGCUCGUCUCUGUCCACCCGUGCCCAGGGCUCGGCCGCCAAACCCAGCCCACGCUUCCUGAACCCGCGGCCCUGACUGUGGGCCCUUGCCUUCCCACCUGCCAGCCGGCCCCAUAAACAACUUUGCUCACAUA